GACGGAGGGGGCAAGCGUUGUCCGGAAUUACUGGGCGUAAAGGGCUUGUAGGUGGUUUGUCGCGUUGUUCGUGAAAACUCACAGCUUAACUGUGGGCGUGCGGGCGAUACGGGCAGACUGGAGUACUGCAGGGGAGACUGGAAUUCCUGGUGUAGCGGUGGAAUGCGCAGAUAUCAGGAGGAACACCGGUGGCGAAGGCGGGUCUCUGGGCAGUAACUGACGCUGAGGAGCGAAAGCGUGGGGAGCGAACAGG
rnacentral:rRNA from 1 species